rnacentral:rRNA from 1 species
AGUGAACGCUGGCGGUAGGCCUAACACAUGCAAGUCUAACGGCAGCACAGUAAGAGCUUGCUCUUACGGGUGGCGAGUGGCGGACGGGUGAGGAAUACAUCGGAAUCUACUUUUUCGUGGGGGAUAACGUAGGGAAACUUACGCUAAUACCGCAUACGACCUACGGGUGAAAGCAGGGGAUCUUCGGACCUUGCGCGAUUGAAUGAGCCGAUGUCGGAUUAGCUAGUUGGCGGGGUAAAGGCCCACCAAGGCGACGAUCCGUAGCUGGUCUGAGAGGAUGAUCAGCCACACUGGAACUGAGACACGGUCCAGACUCCUACGGGAGGCAGCAGUGGGGAAUAUUGGACAAUGGGCGCAAGCCUGAUCCAGCCAUACCGCGUGGGUGAAGAAGGCCUUCGGGUUGUAAAGCCCUUUUGUUGGGAAAGAAAAGCAGCAGGUUAAUACCCCGCUGUUCCGACGGUACCCAAAGAAUAAGCACCGGCUAACUUCGUG